CAGCCAUCGUCUUGGAGUGUGUGGUACAAUUUUAACAGCAGCAGCGCUCGGUUUCUAAGGAAAGCUCAGCUCUCACUUUUCUGUUCGCCUUACUACCGUUCCCAUUGUCUCUGACGACAACGAGAAAGGGAGCAGUUCAACUGGGGCCUGUAUUUGGAAUAAGAAAGCAUUGCUGUUUUCCGGCUAGAGAGAAGAAAGACAGGACUCCUCUGGAUUUCCCAAGGAAUUUGAUCUGGACGCAUUGUCACCGAGAAAUCGACUACCGGGGUAUAUA